GGGAAGGAGAAAAGAGGGGAAAGAAAAGGGCAAGAGAAGAGGAGAGUAUACCUGUUUGAGGGUCAGCCUAUAAAAAUCGACAUCGUUGCUGUUUCGAGGUGGCGUUAGGCGGAAAUUGGGUCAUCUUAAAUCCUUUUGAUUUAAGCGACUUAAAAUUUUCUUUUGGUUCCAUGAACGUUCCUAAGAUCUAUUUCUUUACACGUUUAAGGUAGGGAGCUUUACUAGACGUGACGAUCAUAGGGGAGCGCGUCCAUAAUCUUUCAGGAAAGUGCCUCAGACAGGUAAGAGUACCCGCUGAA
rnacentral:misc_RNA from 1 species